rnacentral:rRNA from 1 species
GACGAACGCUGGCGGCGUGCCUAAUACAUGCAAGUAGAACGCUGAAGGAGGAGCUUGCUUCUCUGGAUGAGUUGCGAACGGGUGAGUAACGCGUAGGUAACCUGCCUGGUAGCGGGGGAUAACUAUUGGAAACGAUAGCUAAUACCGCAUAAUAGUAGAUGUUGCAUGACAUUUGCUUAAAAGGUGCACUUGCAUCACUACCAGAUGGACCUGCGUUGUAUUAGCUAGUUGGUGAGGUAACGGCUCACCAAGGCAACGAUACAUAGCCGACCUGAGAGGGUGAUCGGCCACACUGGGACUGAGACACGGCCCAGACUCCUACGGGAGGCAGCAGUAGGGAAUCUUCGGCAAUAGACGGAAGUCUGACCGAGCAACGCCGCGUGAGUGAAGAAGGUUUUCGGAUCGUAAAGCUCUGUUGUAAGAGAAGAACGAGUGUGAGAGUGGAAAGUUCACACUGUGACGGUAUCUUACCAGAAAGGGACGGCUAACUACGUG